AUAGAUGAAUGUGCAACCAACACAUCGAAUUGUGAACAAGUUUGCAAUAAUACAAUUGGAAACUUCACAUGCAGCUGCCUUCCUGGGUACACCAUCAACGCAACAAACACUUCACAUUGUGAUGAUAUAGAUGAAUGUGCAACCAACACAUCGAAUUGUGAACAAGUCUGCCAUAAUACAAUUGGAAGCUUCACAUGUAGCUGCUUUCCUGGGUACAGCAUCAACGCAACAAACACUUUACAUUGUGAUGUAGAUAUAGAUGAAUGCGCAACGAACACAUCGAAUUGUGAACAAGUCUGCAAUAAUACAAUUGGAAGCUUCACAUGCAGCUGCCUUCCUGGGUACAGCAUCAAUGCAACAAACACUUCACGUUGUGAUGAUAUAGAUGAAUGCGCAACCAACACAUCGAAUUGUGAACAAGUCUGCCAUAAUACAAUUGGAAGCUUCACAUGCAGCUGCCUUCCGGGGUACAGCAUCAACGCAACAAACACUUCACAUUGUGAUGAUAUAGAUGAAUG